AUUGGGAACCACUGUUCUAAAGGCACCAGGUCCUGUCUGAUCUUGGAAGCUAACCAGAUUCAGCUCUGGUUAGUACUUGGAUGGGAGACCACCAAUGAGUGUCAGGUGUUGUAGGCA
rnacentral:rRNA from 1 species